CGCAUCUGUGCAUGCAGCAUAUCAAUAAGCGGAGGAAAAGAAACUAACAAGGAUUCCCCUAGUAACGGCGAGUGAAGCGGGAAGAGCUCAAAUUUGAAAUCUUAAAGGGUUUCCCUUUACGAAUUGUAGUUUAAAGACGUGUUUUCUGUUGAGGUUUUGGUAAAAGUUCUUUGGAAUAGGACAUCAUAGAGGGUGAGAAUCCCGUAUUUGACCUUUACUUUCAACUUUGUGAUACACUUUCAAAGAGUCGGAUUGUUUGGGAAUGCAGUCCAAAAUGGGUGGUAAAUUUCAUCUAAAGCUAAAUAUUGGCGAGAGACCGAUAGCGAACAAGUACCGUGAGGGAAAGAUGAAAAGAACUUUGAAAAGAGUUAAACAGUACGUGAAAUCGUCAAAAGGGAAGCGUUUGACACCAGUGUUGUUUUUCUGAAAAUCAAUUAAAGAACUGUUUAUGCUAAGUUGUUUAGACUUUAUCAGCUAACUGUUUAGUUUUGAGCUUUUCUUUAAUGCACUUCUCAGUUAACAAGUCAACAUCAAUUUCUUUUGCUGUAAAAAAGCUUGAGGAAGGUGGCUUGAGAUUCGUCUUAAGUGUUUAUAGCCUCUUGCCUAUGCAGUCGGAGAGAUUGAGGUCUGCAGCGUAGAUCCUUCGGGGCUAAAUGCAUUUGUGCUAAGUUAUAGCAUUUUAUAGACAACUUGUUGACUAUGAUUUGUCUUGUAGCUUACUCGCUUAUGUUAUUUUACCUACGCUUAGGAUGUUGAAUCUGUGCGAGACUAC
rnacentral:rRNA from 1 species